rnacentral:rRNA from 1 species
GGGCGCGCGUUGUCCGGAAUUAUUGGGCGUAAAGAGCUCGUAGGCGGCUGGUCGCGUCUGCCGUGAAAGCCCUGGGCUUAACUGGGGGUCUGCGGUGGAUACGGGCCGGCUAGAGGUAGGUAGGGGAGAACGGAAUUCCUGGUGUAGCGGUGAAAUGCGCAGAUAUCAGGAGGAACACCGGUGGCGAAGGCGGUUCUCUGGGCCUAUCCUGACGCUGAGGAGCGAAAGCGUGGGGAGCGAACAGGAUUAGAUACCCUGGUAGUCCACGCUGUAAACGUUGGGCGCUAGGUGUGGGGGUCUUCCACGAUCCCGUGCCGGAGCUAACGCAUUAAGCGCCCCGCCUGGGGAGUACGGCCGCAAGGCUAAAACUCAAAGGAAUUGACGGGGGCC